rnacentral:miRNA from 1 species
ACGGUUUACAGAUAUACUACGUUCAAUUCCCUUCUGUAUCCUACCUUCCCAACUUUCCACCUACGACAAUGGUAUAAUAAUAUAAUUACAAUGGAUGCAACCAUUGUUGUAGGUGGGAAGUUGGGAAGGUAGGAUACAGAAGGGAAUUGAAUGUAGUAUACAUGAUAUAU